rnacentral:rRNA from 1 species
GACGUAGGGCGCGAGCGUUGUCCGGAUUUAUUGGGCGUAAAGAGCUCGUAGGCGGCUUGUCGCGUCGACUGUGAAAACCCGCGGCUCAACUGCGGGCCUGCAGCCGAUACGGGCAGGCGUAGAGUUCGGUAGGGGGAGACUGGAAUUCCUGGAUGUAGCGGUGAAAUGCGCAGAUAUCAGGAAGAACACCAAUGGCGAAGGCAGCUCUCUGGGACGGUACUGACGCUGAGACGCGAAAGCGUGGGGAGCGAACAGG